GGAACCUGUCCCAGACGCCUACCCCGCCUGAGCCAGAGGAAGGGAGGAAAACAAUAGCAAAAACCAGGACCCUUCGGACUUGCCGCUGAAUGGGGAUUUUCGUCGGAUGUUGAGUUUACCUGGAAUGCCCCGGUGUUAUUUUGGGAAGGCAGACAUCCCACGGAAACAAUGAAGUGGAAAAGAAAACAGCUAAAGCAAAAUCUAGAGCCCAGUUUUUGCCAAACCAGCCCCACGUGGGCUGGGCAGGCUCUGGAAGCCCAAGUCAGGCCGAUGAAGAGCGGCUGAGGCCGUGGGGAUCUGGUUUACCAGGAGGGCACAUGGAGGAUGCAAGAAAAGGAAGAGCCGUAUUCAAGUCCCCACUUCAGUGAUGAGGCAGAAAGACCCUGCGCCUGACCACGUGGGAACAGCCUGCAGUGAGCGGUGACGCCGCCUGGCUUGAGCUAAGUGCUGGGCUCCACCAUUCAUUGGCUGAGUGACCUUAGGCAAGUCACUUAACCUCUCAGAGCUUCCUUAUCCUCAUGUAGAAGAUGGAGGUGGGGCGCGGUGGCUCACGCCUGUAAUCCCAACACUUUGGGAGGCCGAGGCGGGUGGAUCACCUGAGGUCAGGGGUUCAAGACCAGCCUGGGCAACAUGGCAAAACCCCAUCUCUACAAAAAAUACAAAAAUUAGCCCGACGUGAUGAUGAGAAGAGAAUGAGCCAUGUGUUUCCUGAAACAUCCAGUGGCCUCACCGGAGAAUCUGCAAGAGCCGGUAAACCCAGAAGCUUGGCCGUCCAUUCCUGGAAGCAGACAUUGUGUCUUCGUCCACCAAGCCCCUGGCUCUCAACACUCACUGUGGUGGCAAGAACAUGGCACCUUGACCCUACACAGUUCUUCCAUUUUUCAGAAGCAGCUCCAGACCCUUGUCCCCAGGUUUUGACCCCACCCAGACCUUUGCCUGGGACGGAAAGCUGCUUCAUUUCAGGAGACACCUGAAGUACCUGGGUUGGUUCAGAGACUACCAGAAGUUUUUGGACUUCUUCUAGUCCUUUAAUGGCCAAAAGGACUCAAGGGCCUGGCAUGUAAUGGAAAAGGCAUCACCUCUCUCAUGGAACGCAGCUGGAAGGACCAACCCCUUCAUAGUUACAGGAAUCUGAGCUAUGAAGACACUAGCCAGGCAACAAGGCCCUGGGCUCAGACACAGAUGAAGUUUCUCUGGAAGAGAAAUCUGGCCUGUUACAGACCUGGGAAGUGCCAAGGCUUAGCUCCUGAGAAGGAUUGCUGGUGCUGACAGCUGGGAGUCAGGACUCCAGGGCCACUUGUAUGGAAGCUGGUGCCCGUGGUGCAGGAGGAUGGGGGCUCUGGAUUCUGCACCACCCCCCAUAGACUGGCCCCUCAGAGGGCUCCUGUGGUGUCAGAGCCCUCUCACAAGCGCCUGCCGUGGUUAUCAGCUGAAGCUGAGUGCUUGUGGAGUGUGGACAGAGGGCAGAGGGAGAGAAGCAGCCAUGGGCUUCCUGCCAGGAAGCUCAGCAGCUCCGAGGAGACUGGAGAGUCAUGGGACACAGUGCGUCCUCCCCAGAACAGCCUCCAGCCUGCCAGUUCAGAGCACACGCUUGGAGGCAGGAAGGCUGAGGUCCAACCCCAUUCCUGCUAUGGGCCAGCUGAGAGCUGUGGACAAGUCAUUCGGCUUCUCUGAGCCGCAGUCUUCUCACCUGUAAAGCGGGGGUAAUAAUACCCUCCUCACAAGGUUGUUGCAAGGCUUUGUGGGGAAAAAUACAAAGUGCACAGAGUUGUUCAGUAAGGCGUGGGCCUGCGGGGAAAGGCGGGGCCAUGAGCUGGCCAGGGGAGGAAAGGACAGAUGGGGACUCCAGAUAAUGAAAGCAUCUUUGCAUCCUCAAUGAUAUAAUCUGGGUUUGUUGUUGUUGUUGUUGUUUGAGACAGAGUCUCGCUCUGUCCCCCAGGCUGGAGUGCAGUGGUGCAAUUUCAGCUCACUGCAACCUGUACUUCCCGGGUUCAAGUGAUUCUCCUGCCUCAGCUUCCUGAGUAGCUGGGAUUACAGGUGCCCGCCACCAUGCCUGGCUAAUUUUUCUGUUUUUAAUAGAGACAGGGUUUCGCCAUGUUGGCCAGGAUGGCCUCGAGCUCCUGACCUCAGCUGAUCCACCCUCCUCAGCCUCCCAAAGUGCUGCGAUUACAGGCAUGAGCCACCGCGCCCGGCCCAUCUGGAGUUUUUUUGUUUGUUUGUUCCUCAUAAAGGCUACGAGGAGAGGAAGGGGCCUAGAACACAGGAUGGUGGAAGAGGGGCUCAUGGGUGGAGGGGAGGAGAGCAGAUGAGCAGGGACCCUCCCCCUUCCUCGGCAACCAUGGGGUUUGCCACACAUAUAUUUUUGAUGUCCCAUGUAUCAGGUGGAGAUGUCAACUUCUAUGAACUGAAAUAAACUGUUUCCCUAUGUGUAAAAUGAAGGGCACUUCAAGUCUGUCCAAGUACAACCAGGUGUCUCUAGAUACCCCGAGCCUGAGAAAUCACCCGUGUAGAUGCACACAGGCAUACACUCACACAUAUGCACAAUCACAUACACUCACAUUUUGUUACCUGGGUUCAAAUUAGACUAGCUGAUAGUUGAGGAUAGCCAUGGGUUCCAAGCUUAGGCACAUCUUUGCUGUGGCUGUUAGGCCUCACCCAGGUUGAGAGAAGGACUAAGACCCAGGUCUACUUGCUUGUCUGGUCUCUCUAUAUUAUCCUAGUAGCAAGUUA
rnacentral:lncRNA from 1 species